AGUGAACGCUGGCGGUAGGCCUAACACAUGCAAGUCGAACGGCAGCACAGUAAGAGCUUGCUCUUACGGGUGGCGAGUGGCGGACGGGUGAGGAAUACAUCGGAAUCUACUUUUUCGUGGGGGAUAACGUAGGGAAACUUACGCUAAUACCGCAUACGACCUACGGGUGAAAGCAGGGGAUCUUCGGACCUUGCGCGAUUGAAUGAGCCGAUGUCGGAUUAGCUAGUUGGCGGGGUAAAGGCCCACCAAGGCGACGAUCCGUAGCUGGUCUGAGAGGAUGAUCAGCAACACUGGAACUGAGACAAGGUCCAGACUCCUACGGGAGGCAGCAGUGGGGAAUAUUGGACAAUGGGCGCAAGCCUGAUCCAGCCAUACCGCGUGGGUGAAGAAGGCCUUCGGGUUGUAAAGCCCUUUUGUUGGGAAAGAAAAGCAGCAGGUUAAUACCCCGCUGUUCUGACGGUACCCAAAGAAUAAGCACCGGCUAACUUCGUG
rnacentral:rRNA from 1 species